CACACUUUGCAAUAAUCUGAGCACUGCGCCCAGAAAAAUACGCGUUGCGAUACAGACUAGACGUCAUGUUGGGGAGAUCUAAAAUCGAAAAUACUAUGUAAAUAAUCCAUUACCUUUGAUUCUCUUCAUCAGAUGUCACUUCCAGGUAUCACAGGUCCAUAACGAAUGUAGUUUUGUUCAAAAAAGCUCAUUUAUGUCCAAAAAUCUCCGUCUUGUUAGCACAUGAUCUAAGCCAGCCGGACUUCUCGUCAUGAACGAGGGGGAAAAAAUAUAUUUACGUUCGUUCAAACAUGUCAAACGUUGUAUAGCAUAAAUCAUUAGGGCCUUUUUUAACCAGAACAUGAAUAAUAUUCAAGGUGGACGAAUGCAUACUCUUUUAUAACGUAUUGGAACGAGGGUACCCAACAUGAACUCGGGCGCCAGGUGUCUAAUGGGACAUCAUCGUUCCAUGGCUCUUGUUCGGUCAGAUCUCCCUCCAGAAGACUCAAAACACUUUGUAAAGGCUGGUGACAUCUAGUGGAAGCAAUAGGAAGUGCCAAAAUAUUCCUCAGCCCCUGUGUUUUUCAAUGGGAUAGGUUUAAAGGUAAUACAACACAUCAGGUAUCCACUUCCUGUCAGAAAAUGUCUCAGGGUUUUGCCUGCCAAAUGAGUUCUGUUAUACUCAGACACCAUUCAAACAGUUUUAGAAAAUUU
rnacentral:lncRNA from 1 species